rnacentral:rRNA from 1 species
AUUGAACGCUGGCGGCAUGCCUUACACAUGCAAGUCGAACGGUAACAGGUUAAGCUGACGAGUGGCGAACGGGUGAGUAAUAUAUCGGAACGUGCCCAGUCGUGGGGGAUAACUGCUCGAAAGAGCAGCUAAUACCGCAUACGACCUGAGGGUGAAAGCGGGGGAUCGCAAGACCUCGCGCGAUUGGAGCGGCCGAUAUC